rnacentral:pre_miRNA from 1 species
CAUGUACUCCCUCCGUUCGGAAUUACUCGUCCAAGAAAUGAAUGUAUCUAGAUGUAUUUUAGUUGUAGAUAUAUCCAUUUUUGUGACAAGUAAUUCUGAACGGAGGGAGUAUCUU